GCAGGAGCCGCUCGCCAUUGAUGACCGUUCUCGGGCCUCUUGGUGGGUCCGAGAGGGAGAGAACACGGGCUGAGUGGU